AUGGACCAUUCCAUCCCUUUUUCCCGUGCAUAUGCAUCGGACUCAGAUGACGAAGGUCCCGAUGAACAAGUUGAUGCGGAGGGGUUCACGGUGAAGGAGGCCGAAGCUUUCGAGAAGGUAUUUGGUCGGGAUCAUCGGACUACAUUGUUCAAGGAUGUUAGUCUCGCGGAUGAAGCCGUGGUAGAUGGUGGCCAAUGUGUACCUCUUGGGGUUAGGCCAAGCUCUCACCGUGAUUUGGUAGACGACAAGAACCGGAUUGCUAAAGGUUCUAAGCUCGACAGCUUGUUGGAUUUGAAGAUGUGGCUCGACAACUACUCGGUUACGCAUUAUCGUCCACACAAGGUGGUGAACUCGGACGUCAAUGUGCGCUACACGGUUGCAUGUGCAUGUGAAGAUGAAAAGGAGGUCCAACUUGGACUUACAAGAGGCCGUGGUGGUGGUAGAGCUCGUGGAAAGGAGGUCCAACAAGGAGUGGCAAGACGCCAUGGCGGUUGUCCGUGGAUUGUGCGUGCAAGACCAUGGAAGGAGGUCCAACUUGGCAUGUAG
rnacentral:rRNA from 1 species